AGCCCAAUAUUAGCUAGUUUAUCGGUAACAAGCUAGCACCUUUGUUUACAAGCUGCAGUGGCUCCUCAAGCUACCUGGCCUUGUUAGUUUGCUAGCGAGGUCUAACGUUAUAUGUCAAGUUCUUUAGCUAGAUAUAUAUGUGGAUCAGUGGAGGCUCCUUAGAGGAGUAGGGGGAGGACCAUCCUAAGUGAAUUUCAGAAAAAUUAAAACCGUGAAACAGAAAACGAUACAAAAUAUAUGAAUGUCACCAAAUAAUUGAUUUAAAACGCACUGCGCUACAGUAGCCUCAACCGCAAUCUCUGGGAUAGCACCAUGGUGUAUGCGGGGAGGACCGCUAGUUUCCGUCCUCUGGGUACAUUGACUUCAAUACAAAACGUGAGACUCAUGGUUCAUACUCUCACCCAAAGGCUUAUACAGUAACUAUGAUGACGUCCGGCUCGAUCCUAUCAGAGCUCUUGUAGCAUGAACUGACAUGUUGUCCUCUCAAAUGAUCAGAUUUUGAGUCUAGUACUGAAAGCAUAAGCUAAAGUUAGCUAGCACUGCAUAAAAUGUGGUGAGUAAGUUGACUCAGAGAGACAAUAGUUGAACAGUUUGGAACAAAUGUAUUUAUUUAAAAAAAAUGAAGAAGCAAUAGGGAGAGAGCACUAGCUAUAUUUUGUAUUUAAUUAACUUUCACUUAGUUAGCGAAAGCAGCUAGCUCGUUUAGCCUACCCAAACAGAGAGGGGUGCUAUGUUAGCUAGAUGGCCAAAGCUAUCCAGCACCGGAACCCUUCCAAGUCAAGGUCAACUUUUGGUUUUAUAAAUGUAUUGGCACCGGGCCCGCAGGUAUAAACUGCUUGCUGCUGUAAACUGUACUGCAUGAUUGUAGCGGGUUUACUAACGCAUUAGUUCUAGUAGUUAUGUUGGUUAUGACGUUAGCUAAUAUGAUGAUGUAGACUGUGUUUAGCCGUUAGGGUAUAACGUUUUGGCUUGGAAAGGUUUUUUCGCCUGGUCACAGACAGCUGUGUUGUGCACUGAAGUCAACAAGCGAAAGGAAAUGUUGAGAGGAGGAGAGCACGUAGAUGUCGAAUGAAUUCUACAACUAGCAAAGUGAUCAUGCUGUUUUUAUGUGGCUGCUAUGGAAGUGAACUGUGUUUGUGUGAUCAGGGUAUUCAGGCAUUAAUUACGCAGAUUCUCUUAAAAUGUUUCUUAAACGGAAGCAAACAGAAUGAAACAGGGAUAAACAUACCUGAAUUUGUCCAAUAGAAACUAACUAUUUUGACUAAUAAUUACACCCUAGAUCAACUAGAUGCAGGCAAGUGUGUGCAUAGGCGGUAUUGAAUGAUUCAUCCAGAUCAGUGGCGGUAAGUGCCUGUCAUUCAUAUUCCAUUUUCCCAGCUCAAUGUAACAUCCAAUAGAAUUAGGCUACUUCAUGACACUCAAUUUUAACAACCUAGCCCAUGAAGAUCAUUUGAGUUUUUCUUGGAAAGAUGCCAAAGCAGCUGCAAGGUCCACUGAAAGGUGUCUAUGGAAUUCUCUGUAAUAACUAAUGGAAUCUUUUUCAGCACUAUGAAUCAUAAUGAACUGACAACUGUUCCAUACCUUGGAGAAGUUACCCCAAACAUCACAACACUCUCAUUGGCCCACAACCGGAUCUCGGAGCUGUGGAUGCAUCAGCUGCAUCCAUACAUCUCCUUGGAGACACUUGACCUGUCAUCUAACUCCAUCUCAGAGAUCAGAGGCUGGAGCUGUCCCAACCAUGCAGCUGAAAUACUUGAAUUUAAGCAAUAACAAGAUCAGCUGUAGUUCCUGGAAUUAAAGCGUAACAAGAUCAAGGUGGUGGACAGCCUGACCUUCAAAGGGCUGGACUUACUGAAAUCAUUGAAGAUGCAGCGGAAUGGCAUCACAAAGCUGAUGGACGGUGCUUUCUUUGGGCUCAACAACAUGGAGGAGCUAGAGCUGGAGCACAACAAUUUGACGGAGGUCAACAAAGGCUGGCUGUAUGGCCUACACAUGCUGCAUGUUCUGCGGGUCAACCAGAACACCAUCGGCAUCAUCCGACCAGACGCCUGGGAGUUCUGCCAAAAGCUGGAGGAGCUCGAUCUGUCCUUCAACCACCUCACCCGGUUGGAGGAGACCGUGUUCAUUGGACUGGGCCUUCUGGAGAACCUGAACCUAGGAGAGAAUACCAUCAGCCACCUGGGAGAGGGAGUUUUCAGCAGUCUGGCCAAUCUGCGCUCACUGAUUCUACAGCAGAACAAUAUUAAAUCUAUCACAAAGGAAGCCUUUGAGAGUCUGGAGGAACUAGAGCACUUGGACCUGAGCAAGAAUGUGAUCAUGUCCAUCCACCCUGAUUCGUUGUCUCACAUGAACUUAAAAGUGUUUUUUCUGAACACUAGCAGCCUGCUGUGUGACUGCCAACUGCAGUUCCUGGGCCCAUGGUUGACUGACAACCGCUUCCUGCAGUCUGUCUCCGCUAUGUGUGCUCACCCUGCCAGCCUGCUGGGCCGUAACGUCCUGUCUGUCAGCCUGGAGGAGCUGGUCUGUGAUGACUUCCCAAAGCCCCGGAUCACUGACCACCCUGAGACCGCCACUGCCCUGCGUGGGACCAAUGUGACUGAGCUGCCUGGCAUCCAGCAGCAGUGACUCCCCCAUGGCCACGGCCUGGAGGAAGGACGGAGAGGUGCUGUAUGAUGCAGAGGUGCAGAAUUGUGCCCGCUACCAGGAGGGAAAGCUGUUCUACACCACCGUGCUGUAUCUCCUCAACGUCAACUUUACAGACGAGGGAUGCUACCAGUGUGUUGUCUCAAACCACUUUGGCUCUAACUGCUCUAACAGGGCCAAGCUCACAGUCAAUGAGCUGCCGUCCUUUCUGAAGACUCCGAUGGACCUGACCAUCCGCACGGGCACCAUGGUCAGGCUGGAGUGUGCUGCCAAGGGUCACCCAUCACCCCAGAUCGCCUGGCAGAAAGACGGGGGCACAGACUUCCCUGCUGCCCGGGAGAGAAGGAUGCACGUCAUGCCAGAUGAUGACAUCAUCUUCAUUGCCAAUGUAAAGACAGAGGAUAUGGGAGUGUACAGCUGCACAGCCCAGAGCGCUGGAGGGAGCAUGUCUGCCAACGCUACACUCACUGUGCUAGAGGACAGGACGGUAGCUCGUGGGGAGACGGCAGUGCUCCAGUGUAUCGCAGGCGGAAGCCCAGCACCCCGCCUCAACUGGACCAAGGAUGACGGGCCCCUGGUCCUCACCGAGCGACACUUCUUUGCCGCCACCUACCAGCUUCUCAUCAUCGUGGACGCGGGGUCGGCGGACACAGGGAAGUACACGUGCAUCAUGUCCAACACGCUGGGCACGGAGCGUGGCCACAUCUACCUCAGCGUGUCUCCCAACUGCGACACUGCGGGCGGCUACGACCAGGAUAGCUGGAACACGGUGGGCAUCAUGGUGAUCGUGGUGGGCACCUCGCUGGUCUGGGUCAUCGUCAUCUACCACAUGCGAAGGAAGAGCGAGGACUACAGCAUCACCAACUCAGACCAACCUGAACCUGCCGGUAGACAUCCCCAGCAAACCUGUCCUCUCAGGGAACGCUGUCUGAGCCUCAGGAGGGAUACAGCAACUCUGAAGCAGGGAGCCACCAGCAGCUCAUGCCACCACUGUCCAACGGCUACGUCCACAAGGGAACUGGCUACGUCCACAAGGGAACUGGCUACGUCCACAAGGGAACUGGCUACGUCCACAAGGGAACUGGCUACGUCCACAAGGGAACUGACUACGUCCACAAGGGAACUGGCUACGUCCACAAGGGAACUGGCUACGUCCACAAGGGAACUGGCUACGUCCACAAGGGAACUGGCUACAUCCACGCGGGAACUGGCUACGUCCACACGGGAACUGGCUACUUCCACACGGGAACUGAUGGUGUGUGCUACAGUGACACAGGCAGCGAGGUGGACACCGAGGCCAACGGGAUGCUGCACUGCCGCGUGGGCUCUCUGUUCAUGGGACAAAGCAUCUUCCAUCCUGGGCAGCCCCGUGAGGGACUAGCUGUGGUGUCGACAGGUGGUGCAGGGCCGCUGGUCAUCUGCUCGGACUGCUACGACAAUGCUAACAUGUACUCUCGGACCCGGGAGUACUACGCCUACCUGGCCGAGGAUGACCCCCUGGACAAGGGUCUCUCUGGCAUCAUGACCCACCUUCCCAAGGAGCCCUAUGGGGAGCAGAGAGGCCAGCAUGAGGACACAGCCCUGGAGAGCCUCAUCAACAACCUGGACUCCUCAGUUUUCCUCACCAGCCACAACUCCUCAGUCUUCCUCACCAAGAGGCUGAGCAAAGCCCUCUGGCCCCCGGAACAACACUAUAGCACCGGUGAGAGAUCAGCUACAGACUGUCUGACAGACCUUAGUGGCAUGCAUGUCAACAGUGAGCUCACAGAGAUAUGUUUGGAAAGUGAUCUCACAGACCUGAUAUCUAACAGUGACCUCAGACAUACUGUGAACUGACAAUGAACUGACCCAUGAGCUCGCAGACUUUCAGACACCGACAUGUUCAAGUCUGAGCUCCUCUUUAUGGGUGCAUAUCCUUUCUGUUGAGUAAUGUAAGCAUUUCACUGUAAGGCCUGUUGUAUUUGGCACAUGAGACAAAUACAAUCACAUUUUUUUUAUUUGAUGUCUGUUUAGUCUCUGCAGAUGUUCCCCCCCAAGGUUGUUUUGGGGCAAAGGGGAGGACUUGUCUACAAUGCCACGACCAGGUCUGUCACAGCAGCCAGUGACUGUGCACACAACUCCCUAUGCAGGGAGGGGAGGAGUGUGGAGGUGGAGCUCUCUCUUCCUCAGAGCACACAGUACCACAGAAGUGCCUCUUAUAGGACUACGUCUCAGGAGCACAUCCAAGCCCUCACAUAAAGCUCUGCCAAACCACUCUGCCAAAAAUGCUUUCUUGUAUAUUUAGAUUAUUUCAGUCACGCAGAGACUAUUUGCUACUAUGAUUUUGAAAAAGGACCAUAUCUAGGGCUUGAGAACUGAACAGGUGAAUGAUGCCCCCUGAUUCCCUCCACCCUCUCAUUCUAGAGGAAGCUAUGAAUGUUUGUGUCAAAGAGCCAUGUUGGAUGCUGCCUUUUUGAGUUUUAAGAUGUCACACAUUUGAACGUGCUCUCAUGACGUACUGUCUGGAAGGUGGAAUGGCAGCAGUGUUGAUGGAUGCCCCAGUUAUUGUGCUUUCUGCUUGCAGAUGCCACAUUUUUGGUACAGUCUUGUUGGAGCAGCCUUAGUGAUUUAAGUUACAAGUCCAGGACAUAGCUUCCUCUCGUCCAGGACUAGAGGGGUCAAAGAGACCCCAGUUGUUUCUUGUUCAGCAGUGAGUGGUACAUACCUAUAGGAUCACUGAAUGAAUCCCCCCUCUAGCCAUCCAUAUUGACUGUAAUCGUCUACUUUUAUGCAAACCCAGAGACAAUGACACUAGAUGUGUGUGAGAUAUAAUUUUCACCUGUUAUCUAUGUCUCUUAAGCUAAGAUUGUUUUGCCUUGGGUCAAAGAGGCAGUCGUACCGAUAGUUACUCAUGUUUUUUUUGUAUGAAAACACACUAUCGAAGCAAAGAAAAUAUUGGGUAUUGCACAUUAUUUUGAUAAUCAUGGUUCAGGUGGCCUCUAAUGGUUUUCAACAGGCAUUCUCGGUAACCCUCCAUCGGGUAACCUUAUGGUUUCUAAUCACUUAUGCACUGAUCAUUUCCUCUCAAACGCUUAUUUUACAGGCACUUACCUCAUACGUGGUGUGUUUUAUUAUGCAGUGUGUAUGCCAUUUUAGAUUCCUAAUGGAUAAUAUAUGCCUUUACCCCUAAUUUCAUCAAUACUGGACAGAUUUAACCUUGGUACUGUGAAGAAUGUAUUGUAUGGAUUUAAACGUUUAUGUAUAUUCAUAACUACGUCCCUCAAACCCUAAGAAGGUAGUUGGAAUUAUUUUUGUCCUAACCUGCAGUAAGUUAGUUUUGUUUUUUGUGUGUAUGUCAGAAUGUUUGUAGUCACUCCAGGGUGAUUCAUAACUUGAUAUGGUAGAAUUCCUCAACAUUGUGGAAAGCAUGUAGAUCUCAAGUCAGGAUUUGGCCCAAAAUGUUGGUACAAAUUUAAUCUAGCUAAAACCAAGAUGUUUAAGGGUUGUCUUUCAUUUAAAUCACACCUGUUUCCUUUGCUCGAAUAAAAUAAUAAUUUUGGCAAUGGAACAUAGAUACUUCAGAAUAAGAUGUAGAUGUGUGAAGGCUAUACAAACAAAGAUACUACAUGAAGAUUGCCCUGACAGGUUUGGUUGAAUCCGUCCUUUAGUCAUUCUUUUUCACAUUUUUGAAAUCUCACAAUUAUUGCACUUCCGAUUCAGCCAAACAUGAAUGCAUUUCUUCUCUCUCGUGUACACUUUCACUUUUACGUGUAUGUCAACUACUAUGCUUUUAUUCCUGCCUCUACCAUAUUGACAGUUAUACAUUUCCAUGUAGGAUUGUUUCUUAGUUACACAAUGCAUUCAUGCUAAAAUCGUAACUUUUUGAUAAGACAUUCCGUGUGACUUUGCUUGAUAAUGCAUCUGGUACAUUUUCAUAUUUUGAGUUUGUUCAAAAAGGACUCCUUUUGUCAAUGUUGCAGUUGGUCUCAAACUGUUAUGUCUCUGUGGUACGUGACUUAACAAAUUUGCACAUGAUUCUUGUACACAAUUGAUUUUUGUUGUGGCUUCUUUUCCAUGGUUUGGAAGUUCUAUAAACCAGGUCAUCCCUUGUAUACCAAAAUAAAUCAUUCCAACCCCAUGCCACUGGAUUCAGUAUUGGCAUGAAUAGAGCUAAUACACAUAUUACAUUUUCUUCUGGAUAAUUAAAGCAUUUCAAUUCAAGGUAGUAAUUGUUGCCGAUAGCUUAAUCACUUUUAAUUUUAUUUGUAUUAUUUUUUUUGCGCACUCCAUGUAUCCGGUAGAAACAGUUCUCUAAUCUGAGUCCAUAGUGGGUUUGCUCUACUGAAUGUUGGAUUUUAUAUUGAACAAAAAUAUAAAAGCAACAUGCAACAAUUUCAAUGAUUGUACUAGGUAACAGUUCAUAGAAGGAAAUCAGUCAACUUAUUUAAAUUAACGAGGCCCUAAUUGAAGAAUUUCACAUGACUGGGCAGGGGUGCAGCUAUGGGUGGGCCUGUGAGAGCAUAAGCCCACCCACUGGGGAGCCAGGCCCAGCCAAUCAGCCAGCUGUGGAGGUCCUGGGCUGGCAUGGUUACACAUGGUCUGCGGUUGUGUGGCCGGUUAAAAGUACUGCUAAAUUCUCUAAAGUGACAUUGGAGGCAUCUUAUGCUUUAGAAAUUAUCUGGCAACUGCUCUGUUGGACAUUCCUGUAGUCAACAUGCCAAUUGCACGCUCCCUCAAAUUGAGACAUCUGUGGCAUUGUGUUGUGACACAACUGAACAUUUUAGUGGCCUUUUAUUGUCCCCAGCACAAGGUGCACCUGUGUAAUCAUGCUAUUUAAUCAGCUUCUUGACCUGCCACACCUGUCAAGUGGAUGGAUUAUCUUGGCAAAGAAUAAAUGCUCACUAACCGGCGUGUAAACAAAUUUGUGCACAGAAUUUGAGAGAAAUAUGCUUUUUGUGCAUUUGGGAAAUUUCUGGGAUCUUCUAUUUCCGCCCAUGAAACAUAACACUUUACAUGUUGUGGUUAUUUUUGUUCAGUGUGUAUAUAUGGAUUUGUAUAGUGACUUUUUUCUAAUGGGAGCUCAACUAUGUCCACAUGACAUGCAUUUGUGUUUAAAGCAAAAAAAUGUUUUACCAAGCCAUCUUUGCUUUGUAUUGCUGACUAUCUUGUUUUUUUUCUUCUCUUUAUACCAAAGUUCAUCAGUUAUGCUCUGGCAAUAUUUAAAAUGCUGCUUGUUUUAUUUGUUAUCAAAGUUUUUGUAUCUUGACUAGUUGUAUAUUCUGUAAAAAAACAAAAACAUUUUUGUUUCUUGAUAUGUAGCUAUCAUUAAAACGAUCACAAAUGUGAUCAUUCUGGCCAUA